CCUACGGGUGGCAGCAGUGGGGAAUAUUGGACAAUGGGGGAAACCCUGAACCAGCGACGCCGCGUGAGGGAAGAAGGUUUUCGGAUUGUAAACCUCCGUCAGUGGGGACGAAAAUGACGGUACCCACGGAGGAAGCCACGGCUAACUACGAGCCAGCAGCCGCGGGAAUACGUAGGUGGCAAGCGUUGUCCGGAAUUACUGGGUUUAAAGGGAGCGUAGGCGGGUUGUCAAGUCAGCAGUGAAAAUUAUUGGCUCAACGCAUAACCUGCUUUUGAAACUGGUAUUCUUGAGUGAAGUAGAGGCAAGCGGAAUGCCUAGUGUAGCGGUGAAAUGCGUAGAUAUUAGGAGGAACACCAGUGGCGAAGGCGGCUUGCUGGGCUUUUACUGACGCUGAGGCUCGAAAGCGUGGGGAGCAAACAGGAUUAGAUACCCUAGUAGUC
rnacentral:rRNA from 1 species